rnacentral:rRNA from 1 species
AACGAACGCUGGCGGCAUGCCUAACACAUGCAAGUCGAACGAGACCUUCGGGUCUAGUGGCGCACGGGUGCGUAACGCGUGGGAACCUGCCCUUAGGUUCGGAAUAACUCCCCGAAAGGGGUGCUAAUACCGGAGAAUGUCUUCGGACCAAAGAUUUAUCGCCUUUGGAUGGGCCCGCGUUGGAUUAGCUAGUUGGUAGGGUAAAAGCCUACCAAGGCGACGAUCCAUAGCUGGUCUGAGAGGAUGAUCAGCCACACUGGGACUGAGACACGGCCCAGACUCCUACGGGAGGCAGCAGUGGGGAAUAUUGGACAAUGGGCGAAAGCCUGAUCCAGCAAUGCCGCGUGAGUGAUGAAGGCCUUAGGGUUGUAAAGCUCUUUUACCCGGGAUGAUAAUGACAGUACCGGGAGAAUAAGCUCCGGCUAACUCCGUG